GCCACGCCAAGGAAAGGAAGUGUUUUCAAAUACUAGGUGGCAUUCCUGAAGCUCAGCUUUUAUGGAAGUCCAUCCAGACCCCAGCUGAACAUUCCCACUGCUACCCACUCCAAAAAUUCAGUCCAAAGAAUAACUACUCACUUCGAAAGAAAAUGAGGAGGGCCCCCACUUGCUGCAGCAGUGGAGACAGCUUUGAAUGAAUCACACUAUUCCAAGAAUCACUGAAAACCUUGUCACAUGGGCAACCCGCAGCACAGGAGCUGCCAGAAUGAUGCAGUGACUAAGGAGGCUGAUGUGAUCCCUGGAUGUAGAAUACCUUCUGUAGGAGGAAAGAGCAUUAGGCCCAGACAGCGGUUGAAAACCACAGCUCAGUUGGCGAUGAGCACUGUGCAGCAGCGGAAGCGUGUGGAAAAAUUCUGGCUGACUCAUCCAUAA
rnacentral:lncRNA from 14 species